CUACGGGUCGCUCCAGUGAGGAAUAUUGCACAAUGGGGGGAACCCUGAUGCAGCAACGCCGCGUGGAGGAUGACGCAUUUCGGUGUGUAAACUCCUUUUAUAUGUCAAGAAAAUGACGGUAGCAUAUGAAUAAGCACCGGCUAACUCCGUGCCAGCAGCCGCGGUAAUACGGAGGGUGCAAGCGUUACUCGGAAUCACUGGGCGUAAAGGACGCGUAGGCGGGUUGGAAAGUCAGGUGUGAAAUCCUACAGCUUAACUGUAGAAUUGCACUUGAAACUUCUAAUCUAGAGUAUGGGAGGGGGAGAUGGAAUUAGUGGUGUAGGGGUAAAAUCCGUAGAUAUCACUAGGAAUACCUAAAGCGAAGGCGACCUCCUGGAACAUUACUGACGCUAAGGCGUGAAAGCGUGGGGAGCAAACAGGAUUAGAUACCCUUGUAGUC
rnacentral:rRNA from 1 species